ACGGAGCGCAGCAGGCGCGACAACUUUACAAUGCGGGAAACCGUGAUAAGGGAACUCCGAGUGCCCGUAAAAUCGGGCUGUCCAUCUGUUUAAAUAACAGGUGAAGAAAGGGCCGGGCAAGACCGGUGCCAGCCGCCGCGGUAAUACCGGCGGCUCGAGUGGUGGCCACUAUUACUGGGCUUAAAGCGUUCGUAGCUGGUCUGUUAAGUCUCUGGGGAAAUCUACUGGCUUAACCAAUAGGCGUUUCAGGGAUACUGGCAGACUAGGGACCGGGAGAGGUGAGAGGUACUCCAGGGGUAGGAGUGAAAUCCUGUAAUCCUUGGGGGACCACCUGUGGCGAAGGCGUCUCACCAGAACGGCUCCGACAGUGAGGGACGAAAGCUGGGGGAGCAAACCGGAUUAGAUACCCGGGUAGUCCCAGCUGUAAACGAUGCGCGUUAGGUGUAUCGGUGACCACGAGUCACCGAGGUGCCGAAGGGAAACCGUGAAACGUGCCGCCUGGGAAGUACGGUCGCAAGGCUGAAACUUAAAGGAAUUGGCGGGGGAGCAC
rnacentral:rRNA from 1 species